UACGUAAGGUGCGAGCGUUAAUCGGAAUUACUGGGCGUAAAGCGUGCGCAGGCGGUUUUGUAAGCCAGAUGUGAAAUCCCCGGGCUUAACCUGGGAAUGGCAUUUGGGACUGCAAGGCUGGAGUGUGGCAGAGGAGACUGGAAUUCCCGGUGUAGCAGUGAAAUGCGUAGAUAUCGGGAGGAAUACCGAUGGCGAAGGCAGGUCUCUGGGCUGACACUGACGCUCAUGCACGAAAGCGUGGGGAGCAAACAGG
rnacentral:rRNA from 1 species